UACGUAGGGGGCUAGCGUUGUUCGGAAUCACUGGGCGUAAAGCGUGCGUAGGCUGUUCGGCAAGUUGGAAGUGAAAGCCCAGGGCUCAACCCUGGAAUUGCUUUCAAAACUGCCGAACUAGAGUCCGGGAGAGGAUAGCGGAAUUUCCAGUGUAGUAGUGAAAUACGUAGAUAUUGGAAGGAACACCAGUGGCGCAAGCGGCUAUCUGGACCGGUACUGACGCUGAGGCACGAAAGCGUGGGGAUCAAACAGG
rnacentral:rRNA from 1 species